AGAAUCCCAUGGACAGAGGAGCCCAGUGGGCUAUGGUUCAUGGAGUCACAAAGAGUUGGAUGUGACUGAAGCAACUGGACACAACACAAAUACUUUAUAUCACCACCCCAGGAAUCCUGUGCAGGAAUCCUGCCAAAGAUGGGGGCAGGACAGGCAUAGCUUGGCUUUGAGGCUUCUGGUGGGCUCUCAGGCUCCCCUUUUGCCUUGCUGCUGCAGAAGGUGGCUGGAGGUGGACCCAGAAGCCCCCAGAAACCCAGAUCACACUAACUAGAUAUUCUCAAAGGUCAAACUUUGAAUUCACUGAGUUCCAGCAGCAAUGCCCAGCACCUCUAUCCUUCAGACAUUCACCAAACCCCCUUGUGGCUCAAAAAAUGUUCAAUAUGCAUUGAAAUUCACCUCAAAUUUCCUUAUAUUUUUCAGGAAAAUUUUGCCCUUCCCAUUCUCUUGGGAUUGUCUAUCAUCGGCCAGAAUACAUAUAGGGAACCAGUGGUACAAGAAUUAAACAAAAGCCUCCCUGCAUAGAUGCAGAACUGUCCAUCCAGACAAGAACCAUACUUUGUUGUUAUUACCAGCAGCAAUAACUGCUCCUACUAACCAUGCCGUAGAUUGUCUGUUCUAGAAACUGUGCUAACUGAAUUCCAUUCAGUAUCUCAUUUAACCAUCAGCUCAACAGGAAAGGUGCCCUUCUUCCCUAAAUGAUUAAACCAUUUACCUACAGGCAGCAGAGUUUCAAACUCAACUGGACUGACAUCAAAGGCCAGCCUACUGUACUUCCUCUCGUAAUUCUCUGCAAGUCACUGAGUUCCAAACUGCCCAAUCUGGACUUCAUUUGUUUAGUAACUGGGGGCCACUGGUAAUUAUUGAGUUGACACCAUGGAAUCAGUUAAUGUCUGGAACGUCACCAUUCCUAAGGUCUAUCACACCACGUCUCCAAGAGAAACUUCUCUUAGCAUCUCAGCCUAGACUUAACAAGUUCAGUAAAUGAGGGACAACAGCAGAGGGAACGCAGGCAUAACUGUGUUACUAGCCCCUGUGUUUUCUGCUGUUCCACUGGCUCAUGUCUCAGGGGAAAUGUCACAGAAGCUGGAUUUGACCUAGAAUCAGAGCUGCAGACGAUAAUCAUAACACUGCUGGGUUUUUAGUUUUGUGUUUUAAAGUAGUCUCUUCUCUUACUCUGAUUGAUGUCACUGGAAAGUUCUCUUCAUAUACACGGAGUUUCAUCCCUGAUGUGCAGACCUCCCUGUUGUCUGCUGUUUUCCCCAGAUCGCCUUCAAAAACGCUGAUUUAUUUUCAAGACAGUGUCUCAGAUCUCUGGUUCUCUUCCAUCCUCCCCUGGGAGCAACUGUGUUUAGCUUGAGUUCAUCUUCCUAAUGUGUUUCCACCAGCAAGCACGGACUCUGUCCAGAAAGACUUAAUGGGCCAGGAAAAUGCAAUUUGUGGUCAACUUAUGAACCCUUUUCCUCUUGCCUUCAUCUCAGGCUGCUUCUUCCCCCUCUCUAUAAAAAAAACAUUGUUUUAGCUUCAACAUUAUAUUUGUCUUGGGGGCAUCAGGAUUCAUUUCUGUGGGCCUUGCUGAUUCAGGCUGUUUAUAUCGGCUCAUGGAGAAACACUCACACAGGAUACUGAGCCGCCGGCCAACCUGGCUGUAGUCACGGAGAAGAGCAUCCUGACCGACCCCUCUCCUUAGGGCCAGCUAUUCCCCAGCAUAGAAGUGGAAUACUAAGAAGUGGCUAACUUUUGUACCCACCUGUCCCAGAGUGCUUGUCACAGGGCACCCCUGUGGGAGGAGAGAACGCUUAUUCAUGGUAAGUCUUUUAAACGAAUUGUCUCCGGUCUGGACAGUAGUCCCAAUAGUGAUGGAAUUUCAGGGGCACCAAAAGUGGUGGGGGGACUUGGCAUUACUCUGGUACAGGCUGCCCUAAAGGGGAGCCCCAUCCCCUCCCCUGUGCUGCUUGACAAACAGUCCCCAGGCUGCACUGCCUCAAAGCUGCGUCCCAAAACUUCCCACGCCUUACCUCCCCCCGCCCCCCGGAGAUCUUGCUGAGACGCAGAUUCUGAGUCAGCAGGUCUGGGGGGUGUGAGCUGAGCCCCCAGGUGGCACUGCAGCCGCUGGUGGUCCUCACACCUGCCUGCACGUUCGAAUCACCCUGGGAUCAUUUCAGAAAUACUAGUGCCUGGGCCGACGGCACCAGGAUCGCUGGUGAAAAGGUGCCCUCGUGGGCUUCAUUCCUAGCCAUACCAUGUGGGCCUCAUCUAGGGCUGCUGACAAAGUGAGUGCUGCUGAAGGGAGAGACAGGCAGGCGGAGCAGUGAGAGAACACAGAAGUAGCAGCAUGGAUACCACAGUCUUUUUAUUACUUAAUCUUGGUGCCUCAGUGCUUCUGCCGUAUUCUAUUCAUUAGAAGUGAGGGUUGCCCAAGGGCAUGACCACCAUGUGGGGCCCACUGGGGGCCUUCUGCACAGCUGCCUCCCACAGCCUUGUCUCUCUCACCUCACUCAUGACCCCUCAGUCACGCUUGCUGACCAGAGAGAGAAGUGAGGCUGGACUGUGAUCUGUGGCCGGAGUCCACGUGCUUAGGGAGAGGCAGUGGAAACAGGGCCCCGGGAUGCUGCAAAGAGCCCGGACAUUCUCAGAACGACAUUCAUCCAAUUAAUGUCUUUAAAAUCUUGUAUUUGCUGUAAGAAUGUAGCGCAAACUUGCCAAAGCCUUAGCAAACUGCUCUGGGGAAGCUGCAAGCUUCAAGACACAGCAUUCCCUGUGUCUUUUAACUGCACCCAGAGUAAAAAAAAAAGUAAGCUUUGGACGUGCACAUCCUGAAAUCCGCAGGUGCACCCCAUCUACCAAUAGGUGCCCAUGUGAUUCUUCUUAAAGAGAUUGAGAGAUCCGAGAGUCGAUGCUCCACGUGGAGCUGGGAAAUGAAGCCGUGCCCCACAGCUGCUGGUCCUCACAACUGAGGUUAAACCCGGGUGCAGAGACUGACUGGAAAGGGCUCUUGCUCUGGGCCAGUUUAAGUGAUUCCCCUCCUUCUGAAGAUAGUUGGGGACACGCUCCGGGCGAAAUCCACCAGUGGAGCAGAUAGAUGUGGCCCCUUCUCGCUAAAGCCAACGCGCAUGUGCGGAGCAGUUCACAGUGACUGAAGCCCUUGACCUUGAAUUAUCCUUCAGUCUUCACAGCAGCUUCGCAGAUGACAAAAACCCAACUCAAACAACUGAAGCAAAACAAAAAGGUCUUUCUAUAUAGAGGGAAAGAAGGCCCUUGGGGGCUGUGGCCUCACAGAAUCCUAACAGCUUGUGAUCCCAGUGGAAGAAAUCAUCUCUUCUGAGCAUUGCAGAAACAGGCACAGAGCUAAGGGCAUGUGAGGACACAGUGAGGAGGUCAGCAAGAGAGCCCGCACCAGAAAAUGAAUCUUUUGGCACCUUCUAGUGUCCAUAACAAUGGCACCCUACUCCAGUACCCUUGCCUGGAGAAUCCCAGGGAUGGAGGAGCCUGGUGGGCUGCCGUCUAUGGGGUCACACAGAGUCGGACAUGACUGAAGCGACUUAGCAGCAACAGCAGCAGCAGCAGUGUCCGUAACUGUGAGAAAAUAAGUUUCAGUUGUUUGAGGCACUCAGUCUAUGGUAUAUUGCUAUGUCCUUCCAAGCAGACUGAUGGAAUAGCUAACACCAUCAUAAGCAUUUUGUAAACAUCAACUAUUCUGGUGUACACCACUGAGGAAGAUACUGCUUUAUCAUUAUCUACAUAAUACAGUU